AUAUGAAAUUAGUUAUAAUUCGGCUUAAAACUACGUAAUUUUAGAAACAGGUGCAAAGUGCACAAAUAUUGAAGCAUAUUUAUGGAAAUACGGAAAAUAUGGGAAAUGCAGCCAUGCAAACGUCCAAGUGCAAUAGGAGCCGGUGGCAGGAGGAAAGGCAGGUGAGACGGUGAAACUCCAGAGAAGCGUGAUGCCAAACAGGGGACUGAGGAAACUGGUGUGCACUUAGCGCUGGAGUACCUGUGACUGAGCUGGAGGCAGGGCGGGCGUGCAGGGCGAUAUCAGGCUGAGAUGGGCUGUGGUUGUGAAGAACAGGCAUCUGCUGGGCUUUGGAUAUUCCAUGCUGGCCGCCUUCAGGCUGGCUGGAGGUAGCCAGUAGGGGCUGCUGGGAAGGGGCUGAAGCAGGGGGCAGAUGA